GAUGAACGCUGGCGGCGUGCCUAAUACAUGCAAGUCGAGCGAACAGACGAGGAGCUUGCUCCUCUGACGUUAGCGGCGGACGGGUGAGUAACACGUGGAUAACCUACCUAUAAGACUGGGAUAACUUCGGGAAACCGGAGCUAAUACCGGAUAAUAUAUUGAACCGCAUGGUUCAAUAGUGAAAGACGGUUUUGCUGUCACUUAUAGAUGGAUCCGCGCCGCAUUAGCUAGUUGGUAAGGUAACGGCUUACCAAGGCGACGAUGCGUAGCCGAGCUGAGGGGGUGAUCGGCCACACUGGAACUGAGACACGGUCCAGGCUCCUACGGGAGGCAGCAGUAGGGAAUCUUCCGCAAUGGGCGAAAGCCUGACGGAGCAACGCCGCGUGAGUGAUGAAGGUCUUCGGAUCGUAAAACUCUGUUAUUAGGGAAGAACAAAUGUGUAAGUAACUAUGCACGUCUUGACGGUACCUAAUCAGAAAGCCACGGCUAACUACGUG
rnacentral:rRNA from 1 species